rnacentral:rRNA from 1 species
ACUCAAAUGAAUUGACGGGGGCUCACACAAGCGGUGGAGCAUGUGGCUCAAUUCGAAGCAACGCGAAGAACCUUAUCCUGGAUUUGACAUGGUGGAAGUAAGAAGCGGAAACGUCUAUGACCGGUAUCCAAUCCGGAACCAUCACAGGUGCUGCAUGGCUGUCGUCAGCUCGUGCUGUGAAGUGUCGGGUUAAGUCCCAUAACGAGCGAAACCCUUAUCGUUAGUUGCCAUCAGGUUAAGCUGGGCACUCUAACGAGACUGCCGGUGUUAAACCGGAGGAAGGCGGGGAUGACGUCAAGUCCUCAUGGCCUUUAUAUCCAGGGCUGCACACGUGCUACAAUGCCGAUGACAAACCGAAGCAAGACCGUAAGGUGGAGCAAAUCGGAGAAAAAUCGGCCCAGUUCAGAUUGAGGGCUGCAACUCGCCCUCAUGAAGUUGGAAUCGCUAGUAAUCGCGGAUCAGCUACGCCGCGGUGAAUGUGUUCCUGAGCCUUGUACACACCGCCCGU